UUGAUUUUAAUAGUGUGUGCAUAAGUUCUUUUAUUUUAACUUUAUCAUUUUAUUUAAAUUACUGCAUUAUAAGCAGGUAAGUUUGACUGGCGAUAGAAAUAAUGCUUGAUACCUUUCAGAUAGAUCGGACAAAGAAGAAGCAGGAAUGUUUGACUGGAAAAUAGCUUGGGCGAAAAAGAGAUUGGUGAAAUGGACAAUGAUGCUAACUGAGACAAAAACAAUAAUGAAUAUCAAAAUGUAAAUGGUAAUUUGUUUGACGUUUACCUGGUUUUAGAGAUACAGUUGGCGAUGCAAUCUCACUUGUAAAUCGUCUUGAUGUUUUUUUAACUUGAAUGAUGAUUCUUUUUAAUUUCUUGAAACUUGAAGUUAUUAAUUAUCAAA